rnacentral:lncRNA from 1 species
AGCUUGGAAAAUGAAGGUCAGAGGCUGAGGGAGCCACAGCUGGAAGGGGCACCUGGAAUUCAGGUAAAUUCCGGCUUUUCCUGCGGCCCUGGGGGAGGAAUUCCAGGAUUUUCCCUCCAAGGCCAGGCUGAAGCCGGAGCAAACGGAAAUCCCUCCUUGGAACGUGGAUUUGGGGCUGGAAAAACGGGGGGAAAAGCGGGAAAACCCCAAAUUCUGUUGCCAAAUCCUCGUUUUUCCGUGGGAAUCUCGGGGUUUUUGGGGAUGCCGAUAAACCCGGGGCGGUUCUCGGGGUUCUGGGGGGGAAUUCCGGCUCUUCCCGAGGUUUUUAUGGUUCCCUCAGAGUCGGGGUCGGGAGGCGGCCGAGCCCGGAGCCGGGCCGGGAUAGAUGGACAAGCCAAGCAACUUCUGACUCCGCGGCUUUUCCGGGCUGAAAUUCCAUGGCAAUGUAUCCCACAAGGGUCUCUGGCGAGGAAUGCAACGGGCUGAACGCGCUGGCGGCCGACAGCGGCCCCGGCACGCGCC